UCAAGGUCCCGAAUCUCUGCAAGCUGCCCCGGGAAGAAUGUGAGUCAUCCGCAUCUGACGUCAAACUCUCAUCUCCUUUCGGACAAGGAGAGAGAGGGUGGGUAAUGACCUCAAUAUGACAGCCAUUCUCCCUUCUGGACCCUGCUUGGAUCACAGAUUCCUCCUCCAGGUUCUGAACUACACCAAGGAAGGAAGUUGCUGCCCAGAGCCAACUAGAGUGGCGGGAAGAGGUCGAGGAAUGUCUCUGAGCUGCUCGGAGCUGGAUGCUGCCGAUACGACGCGCCCAAGCACUGGUUCCUCCAGGAUCUUCUCAGGCUCUCAGGACACCAGUUUGGCUUGAUCACGAUUUCAGGUGAAACAGUGCAUGAAGGAAACACAAGACAAAGACCCAAGGAGUGCCAAAAAAUCAUAAAAUGAUCAAGGAGAACCUCAAUUACUGCAUAGCCUUCCACAGAUGGAACAUUUGACGCAAAACAUUAAGGUACUUCUAGUGUUAACCUGUAAAAGUAGUAGGCAAUUUGGGAGGACUACAAUAGAAAAUUCAAGUGCAUUUAAUUUUUAAUUUCAAAUACUACCAGGUUCUCUUUCUCCCCAAGUUGAGGUAGACAGCCAGAGAUAAAUUUAUUUUUAGGAACUGAGUUUCUGAGCUGGAGACCAACCUAAUGCACUCAGAAAUACCAUCAUAGUCAUUUAUUAAUAAUAAUAAUAAUAAUAAUAAUAUUUGUU